UACGGGGGGGGCAAGCGUUGUUCGGAAUUACUGGGCGUAAAGGGCUCGUAGGCGGCCAACUAAGUCAGACGUGAAAUCCCUCGGCUUAACCGGGGAACUGCGUCUGAUACUGGAUGGCUUGAGAUUGGGAGAGGGAUGCGGAAUUCCAGGUGUAGCGGUGAAAUGCGUAGAUAUCUGGAGGAACACCGGUGGCGAAGGCGGUUCUCUGGGCCUGACCUGACGCUGAGGCGCGAAAGCCAGGGGAGCGAACGGG
rnacentral:rRNA from 1 species